rnacentral:misc_RNA from 1 species
AUACUGGAAUUUGGCCAGAAAGCGAGAGCUUCAACGAUAGAAACAUGCCUCCAGUGCCACAGCGCUGGCAAGGCAUGUGUGAAACUGGAACUGAAUUUAACACUUCCCAUUGCAACAAGCUGAUUGGAGCUCGCAAGUUUAGCCAAGGGAUGAAGCAGUACAGGCUGAAUAUAUCAAACACAAAUGACUAUGAUUCUCCAAGGGAUUUCUGGGGUCAUGGAACCCACACAUCAUCAACUGCAGCUGGGAGCC